CACACUGGGACUGAGACACGGCCCAGACUCCUACGGGAGGCAGCAGUCCCGAAUAUUGCACAAUGGGCGAAAGCCUGAUGCAGCGACGCCGCGUGAGGGAUGACGGCCUUCGGGUUGUAAACCUCUUUCAGCAGGGAAGAAGCGCAAGUGACGGUACCUGCAGUUGAAGCGCCGGCUAACUACGUGCCAGCAGCCGCGGUAAUACGUAGGGCGCAAGCGUUGUCCGGAAUUAUUGGGCGUAAAGAGCUCGUAGGCGGCUUGUCACGUCGGAUGUGAAAGCCCGGGGCUUAACCCCGGGUCUGCAUUCGAUACGGGCUAGCUAGAGUGUGGUAGGGGAGAUCGGAAUUCCUCCUGUAGCGGUGAAAUGCGCAGAUAUCAGGAGGAACACCGGUGGCGAAGGCGGAUCUCUGGGCCAUUACUGACGCUGAGGAGCGAAAGCGUGGGGAGCGAACAGGAUUAGAUACCCUGGUAGUCCACGCCGUAAACGUUGGGAACUAGGUGUUGGCGACAUUCCACGUC
rnacentral:rRNA from 1 species